CUACGGGGUGCUGCAGUGGGGAAUAUUGCGCAAUGGGCGAAAGCCUGACGCAGCCAUGCCGCGUGUGUGAAGAAGGCCUUAGGGUUGUAAAGCACUUUCAAUUGGGAGGAAAGGUUCAAGCUUAAUACGCUUGAGCUGUGACGUUACCUUUAGAAGAAGCACCGGCUAACUCCGUGCCGGCAGCCGCGGUAAUACGGAGGGUGCAAGCGUAAUCGGAAUUACUGGGCGUAAAGCGCGCGUAGGCGGCUUGUUAAGUCGGAUGUGAAAGCCCCGGGCUCAACCUGGGAACUGCACCCGAUACUGGCAGGCUAGAAUGCGAGAGAGGGGGGUAGAAUUCCAUGUGUAGCGGUGACAUGCGUAGAUAUAUGGAGGAAUACCAGUGGCGAAGGCGGCCCCCUGGCUCGACAUUGACGCUGAGGUGCGAAAGCGUGGGGAGCAAACAGGAUUAGAUACCCCAGUAGUC
rnacentral:rRNA from 1 species